rnacentral:ncRNA from 10 species
AUCGUUCAAUUUGCUGAAAAGUAAAUCGGAAGUAGGGUAAAACUGAAGGAACGCGGA